rnacentral:rRNA from 1 species
GACGGAACAGGCAAGCGUUGUUCGGAAUCACUGGGCUUAAAGCGCGUGUAGGCGGCUCGGUAAGUACCUUGUGAAAUCCCCCGUCUCAACCGGGGCACUGCUAGGUAUACUGCCGGGCUCGAGGUAGGUAGGGGUGCCUGGAACUCUAGGUGGAGCGGUGAAAUGCGUAGAUAUCUAGAGGAACGCCUGUGGCGAAAGCGGGGCACUGGGCCUUACCUGACGCUGAGACGCGAAAGCGUGGGUAG